rnacentral:tRNA from 1 species
GCGGGCGUGGCGGAAUUGGCAGACGUGUCAGAUUUAGGAUCUGAUGUCUUUGCGACGUGCAGGUUCAAGUCCUGUCGCCCGCACCA